GGGCCAGACUCCUACGGGAGGCAGCAGUGGGGGAUAUUGCACAAUGGGGGAAACCCUGAUGCAGCGACGCCGCGUGUGGGAAGACGGUCCUCUGGAUUGUAAACCACUGUCCCCAGGGACGAAGAUGACGGUACCUGGGGAGGAAGCUCCGGCUAACUACGUGCCAGCAGCCGCGGUAAUACGUAGGGAGCAAGCGUUAUCCGGAUUUACUGGGUGUAAAGGGCGCGUAGGCGGGAUGGCAAGUCAGAUGUGAAAUCCAAGGGCUCAACCCUUGAACUGCAUUUGAAACUGUCGUUCUUGAGUACUGGAGAGGUUGACGGAAUUCCUAGUGUAGCGGUGAAAUGCGUAGAUAUUAGGAGGAACACCAGUGGCGAAGGCGGUCAACUGGACAGCAACUGACGCUGAGGCGCGAAAGCGUGGGGAGCAAACAGGAUUAGAUACCCGGGUAA
rnacentral:rRNA from 1 species